UACAGAGGUCUCAAGCGUUGUUCGGAUUCAUUGGGCGUAAAGGGUGCGUAGGCGGCGCGGUAAGUCGGGUGUGAAAUCUCGGAGCUUAACUCCGAAACUGCAUUCGAAACUGCCGUUCUUGAGGGUUGCAGAGGAGACUGGAAUUCCCGGUGUAGCGGUGAAAUGUGUAGAGAUCGGGAGGAACACCGAUGGCGAAGGCAAUCCCCUGGGCCUGCACUCGACGCUCAUGCACGAAGCGUGGG
rnacentral:rRNA from 1 species